GUUUUUGUAGUUGAAAUACAACAAUGGUUUUUCAUGCCGUAGGUCGUGGUUAAAGUCCAUGUAAAAACA
rnacentral:tRNA from 1 species